rnacentral:lncRNA from 1 species
UAUCAUUGACAGCUUCAUUUCUCACGUGCUUGUGCAAGUGCAUAGCUAAUUUGACACACUUGAUUUUUGUACCAUUUUAUGUCCUUCCUAGCUAUUUCCCUAUGCAAAUAUGAGGAUAACAUUGUAAACAUGUAUAAAAUAAUGUUGCACUUAUACAUGCAGUAUAAAUGUCAUGCUUUUGCAUGUUAUAUUUCACAACAUUGGUCUUAAAAAAAAAAUUGUUUUCUAAUAUUGCUAUUAAAGAAAAUGACAAUUGAGCAGCAUAAGGAUAUUGAGAAUGGAGAAACUAAUGGGUUUCAGUAUUUGCAAGAACCUUUCAUUCAACAAGGAAAGGAUGCAUGUAAAGAAGUUGGAUCAGAUAAAAGUAUGGAAAAUGGAUCCAUUGGAAUGGUUCUGCUUAGCACAUUUGUUGC